GCAAACCCUUGUAGAUCUAUCUGGUGCAG
rnacentral:piRNA from 1 species